rnacentral:lncRNA from 1 species
UGAAUAUUUUUACGUAUUUUUUGGACAACUGAGCUAGAUGCAGUUUAAGUUUCAAAAUCGUCACUGUUUGCUGCCAGAACAAAUGAUAGAUGGAAAACAAAACACAACAAGACAAGUAGGGAAAAAAACAUCAAAAAUAUGGAAAAACAAAGGAUAGAUAAGGACCAAAAGACUUAGCUCUUGAAGAACCAAAGCUCUUGAUACCAAAUGAUGGCAACCUCCUUAAGCUAGGUUGGGCCAAAGCUUAAAAGGAUGCAAUGGAGGGGUGUUUCCUUGGAUGAAUGGUGCGGAAAUGUGGUGGUAAAUGGUCCAAGGAUGAUGAGAUAAUGUAUGAAUGGUGUAGAAGCUCAAAGCCUCUAGGAGAUAUGGUGGUGGUGAUGUAGUGUUUGGUGACUCCAAGAAAGGUUAGGCCCACUCAAGGAGGAAGGUGACUAGAGGGGCCUCAUGAGUUGCUCUAAUCUUGAUCUAAGAUGAGUAGUAUGGCCAAAAAUGGGCAGUAUAACAUUAGUCAACAUCAAAGAUGAAAU